UAGGGAAUCUUCCACAAUGGGCGAAAGCCUGAUGGAGCAACGCCGCGUGUGUGAUGAAGGGUUUCGGCUCGUAAAACACUGUUGUAAGAGAAGAAUGACAUUGAGAGUAACUGUUCAAUGUGUGACGGUAUCUUACCAGAAAGGGACGGCUAAAUACGUGCUAG
rnacentral:rRNA from 1 species